rnacentral:rRNA from 1 species
CCUACGGGGUGCUGCAGUGGGGAAUAUUGCACAAUGGGCGCAAGCCUGAUGCAGCCAUGCCGCGUGUGUGAAGAAGGCCUUCGGGUUGUAAAGCACUUUCAGCGGGGAGGAAGGCGUUAAGGUUAAUAACCUUGGCGAUUGACGUUACCCGCAGAAGAAGCACCGGCUAACUCCGUGCCAGCAGCCGCGGUAAUACGGAGGGUGCAAGCGUUAAUCGGAAUUACUGGGCGUAAAGCGCACGCAGGCGGUCUGUCAAGUCGGAUGUGAAAUCCCCGGGCUCAACCUGGGAACUGCAUUCGAAACUGGCAGGCUAGAGUCUUGUAGAGGGGGGUAGAAUUCCAGGUGUAGCGGUGAAAUGCGUAGAGAUCUGGAGGAAUACCGGUGGCGAGGGCGGCCCCCUGGACAAAGACUGACGCUCAGGUGCGAAAGCGUGGGGAGCAAACAGGAUUAAUACCCUAGUAGUC